rnacentral:lncRNA from 1 species
UGUUUCUUGGAUGUAUGACAUUAUAACAAGGUAAUUUCAUUCUAAUAUUACAUAUUCAUGGAUGUGAGCAUCUUAUAAUUAUUAAUGAAUAAAAGUGCAUCCUAUAUUUAUUUGGUUUAAAGGAGACCUUUUGAAAAUUAAGCAGUUAUUACUGGCAAUUGUACUGGUGUCCAUCUUAUAUUUUGCAGAAAUACUGCUGACCCCAGUGAAGAAAGAAAGACUGCAUGCAGAAAUACCAACUUUUAGGAGCAAACUGGACAGUUUUCAAAAAAUACUGCUGACCCCAGAGAAGAAAGAAAGACUGCAUGCAGAAAUACCAACUUUUAGGAGUGAAAUGGAUGAUUUUCAAAGUAAGGACUUGGUUUAGAAAUUAAUGCAAAAAGCCCUUACCAUCCAAAUAAUUCUUUUGCAGAACUUUACCGUGGGAGGCUGUGGAUAGGGAAUUAUGUUGUGGGGGGGGUUUCUGUAGAUUCUGUGAAAAAAUCUGUAUAUCAAUAGGCCAGAAAAAUGCUAUUUUGUAAUCAUUAAAUUGUGUUAUGCACAUUAGUUCACAACGAAUUUGUCUGGCACUUGCUUUGAAGAUACUUCUUUGAAUCCUGACAGGGUUGCUUCCAUGCCAUCUGCUAUUUUCAGUUUUGUGGUGUUAAUUUUUAAGAUGGAGAGGUAUAGACAGGGCCAGAGCACCGUACAGUUCCUGUUCCCGGAUUGAGCAUCACUUUAUUAUACAUUUAUAGCCAUGUUAUCCUGUCAUACCUGUUUCUGUUCCAGCUUGGAGCUCUGCUAAGGACUUGUGCCUCUGUGUCCUGAAUAGCUAAAAGGGUAAACCUUAAUGUAUACAUCAAUACUAGAGCAAGUAACUGAAAACAACCUGUCAGAAAAUUAAGUACAGGAGAUCUGUUUACCUGUCCUGUAUUAUGAGGUGUUGAAUAAGAUGUUACUAACAAGGUAGAGUUGUGAAUAUCAUUAUUUUAUUUAAUUAAUUUCUGGUAAAAGCUAGUAGAUUUUUUUUUUUUUUUCCUUCCAGAUUCAGAA